AGUCGAGCGGCASACGGGAGCUUGCUCCUGGUGGCGAGCGGCGGACGGGUGAGUAAUGCCUAGGAAUCUGCCUGUUAGUGGGGGAUAACUCGGGGAAACUCGAGCUAAUACCGCAUACGUCCUACGGGAGAAAGUGGGGGACCUUCGGGCCUCACGCUAACAGAUGAGCCUAGGUCGGAUUAGCUAGUUGGUGGGGUAAAGGCCUACCAAGGCGACGAUCCGUAGCUGGUCUGAGAGGAUGAUCAGCCACACUGGAACUGAGACACGGUCCAGACUCCUACGGGAGGCAGCAGUUGGGAAUAUUGGACAAUGGGCGCAAGCUGAUCCAGCCAUGCCGCGUGUGUBAAGAAGGUCUUCGGAUUGUAAAGCACUUUAAGUUGGGAGGAAGGGCKCUU
rnacentral:rRNA from 1 species